CUUCAAUAAAUUAUUAUGAAAGCCUUACAUUAUUACGCUCAUUAUGUACUCUGUUUCUUAUGUUGUCCACCGGUUUUUUUUUCUUGAAUUGAAUAAAUAGAUGAGCUAUUAAUAAUAAUCAAUUUAAUUUAUAAAGCGACCCAAGGUAACUUGCUCAUUGCACUGCAAAAAAAUGACUUUCUUCGUGUUUUUGUCUUGUUUUCAGUACAAAUAUCAAAAAAUUCUUAAAUUAAGAUGUAUUAAAAGUUUUCUUGAAAUAUACUUUUUCAUAAACACUUAAUUUAAAACAUUUUUUUUAUUCCAUUGGCUGAUAUUUUUGCUUAUUUUCCUAGGUCAGGGUUUUUGAUAUUUUUACUGAAAACAAGACAACAAUACAAAGUAAGUCAUUUUUUGCAGUGUGACUCCAUUGAAUGUUCUUGUGUGUUAAAGAAAGUCUCUCUUUUUGUGUGUGGUGUUGUGUGAUGUAGAUUAAAUAUGACCGGGCCAAAACGGACAUGGCAGAAGGUCAAAAUCAAAAUCUGCAGAAUGCAGUGAAAAAGAAUACCCAGAGAUAAGGCACGGGUGGUGGGUCACCAAAAGCUGACCUCACCCCAGCAGAGGCCAGCUUUGGAGCUAAAUAAAGGCAGGCCUGUUGGAGGGGAUCCCUGGGGGAAAAGAGACAAGCAUAGGUCCCUCACAAGAUGCCACCCGCUUCAUACAAGUGUCUGGCAGCACUGUGUUACUGUUAAAGCCACCAGCACGAGCACCUGACGAUGCUGAUCCAGUGAGUACUCCAUCAAAGGCAUACUGUAGGCCUGGAACGUCUUGUCUACUAGCUUCAAUAUGAAUCCGUUUAAAUGUGAUGGG